GCCUGAGUGGCUCAGUGGUUGGGCGUCUGCCUUCGGCUCAGGGCGUGACCCCGGGGGUCCUGGGAUCAAGUCCCAGCUCGGGCU
rnacentral:tRNA from 1 species